rnacentral:misc_RNA from 1 species
AACGCACCUUGCGCUCCUUGGUAUUCCGAGGAGCAUGCCUGUUUGAGUGUCUUGAAGUCAUCAACCCCUCCCGUUUCGUGCGGAGAGGUCGGUUGGAGCUGGGGGCUUUGCGGCCGUGAGGUCGCUCCCCUCAAAUGCUUCGGUUGGGCCUUUGGGUCGAACUCGGCUGGGCGUUGUACCAUCCUCGCUCUUGCGUUCGAGAUGCUCCCAUCUUUUUGCGCCCUUCCCCGACAGCCUCUUGAAUGGUGGCGGUCAAAAGGGGGAAACCCCAUUGAAAUCUGACCUCAAAUCAGGUAGGACUACCCGCUGAACUUAA